CUUUUUUCAGCCUCUGAACCAUCCAUAGUCAGUGCUUGACUUAAGCAGGAGCUGUCUGGAGAGGGCACUUUUUGCGUCAGCGAAAACUCCGCCUCUGACUCACAGGCUUGUGGAAGGUGGUCUCAUUAAUUCUUUCAACUGGAUAGAACACAUUUACUGAAAGUUCUUACCUAGGUUAAUACGUAAAGAGGGAGGAAAAUGUUAUUCUGUUUCGAAAUAACUGUGCUCUAUUCAUAACAGAGUCAUUUCAGCCAUUACAACUUCUCUGCUGAAAUGUUGUUCUGAAAAAAAGAGAUGUUUUGUCAUGCCUUCCUACAGGCAAUGGUAAAAGUUUAAUUUCUCAGGCAUGGCCGACAGUCUGCGAUUUAUUGAAACUGAAAAUGGACAAGUCAAUUAUACUAGUGGUUUCUCCUCUGAUUUCAAUAAUCGAGGAUCAGGGUCGUGUUUUGAACGACAAAAAGGAAUCGCAGCAGCAUACGCAGGUCAAAACGAGAUGGAGGACGAGAAAAUACGUUAGAUGACAACGACGUGUACAACGCAAGCCUCGGUGUCAACCCAGACUUUGCAAAUUGGCAGGGGAUCCUUACUCGUAGGACAAGCCAAAUACAGUGGACAGUUGAGGUCUAGGGAUGAAGACAAAUUGACAGGUUUCAACGUUGGUGUCAUCAGCGACAAACAGAAGACAGCCACGGUGAUGCCACUCAACACGUCCUCAAGAUCCUGGUUGUCCAUGGUGGGGAUGGAGAGGAUCCAGUGGAUGUAUCCAUUCUUCUUGAAGGAAAGCAGAUGUUGCCAGGAUGUGGCAGUACUGCUAAAGCUUGCACGCUGCUUAUGGGGCUGGUUUAUGCUCUCAACAUUGCAUACCCACCAACACUGGGCUACACUUGAGGUGUUUCAGAAACUUUUCUUAGAACUGGAUGGGAGUAAGCUCUCCCCAAAAGUACAUGCUUUAAAGUUGAAGAUGGUGUUUUAAAUGGUAUCACAAUGGCAGGUUCUGUACUUCAGCUCCCUUGGACCCUGCACUCAGAUACAGUAAAUACACUUGCAGCGGCCUUCUUCAGUUUUGACUCAUUUACUGGUUAUCCACAUCUACUGUUGUUUUUGUCAUGUGAUAUACCCUUCUAUAUGCCACUGGGAGGGAUACACUUUGUAUACACUAGAAUCAAAUAAUUAGCAGUGAUAUUUUUAUUGUAUAUUUUUGAUCUGUUCAGUGAAUGGGAAUUGAAUUGUUUAACAGAACAGCAGACACUUGAGUGAGCAAUCAGUCAUACUUGACUUUUUCAAUAGAGAUCAUUGGGGGUACAUGUGUUGUUGAUUAAUGCCAGUCAUGCCACUGUUACGUUUAUGGCUGUUGAGAUUUCAUUUGUUUAAAAUAAGGGCUCUAGUAUGUCGUUCCAAACCAGAGGAGGUUCUACUGAAUGCACCAGAAAGUGCUUGUUUGCAGACUUUACCAGUUGAUGCGAACAUUAGUGAUUUAUUGGUAUUUAAUGU